rnacentral:miRNA from 1 species
UCGAUUCCCCGACGGGAAGCCA